CGCGUAGGUGGCUGGGUAAGCGUGUGGUGAAAGCCCGGGGCUCAACCCCGGGUCGGCCAUGCGAACUGUCCGGCUGGAGCACGGUAGAGGCACAUGGAAUUCCGGGUGUAGCGGUGGAAUGCGUAGAGAUCCGGAAGAACACCGGUGGCGAAGGCGGUGUGCUGGGCCGUUGCUGACACUGAGGCGCGACAGCGUGGGGAGCAAACAGGAUUAGAUACCCCGGUA
rnacentral:rRNA from 1 species